rnacentral:rRNA from 1 species
CCUACGGGAGGCAGCAGUGGGGAAUAUUGCACAAUGGGGGAAACCCUGAUGCAGCGACGCCGCGUGAGUGAAGAAGUAUUUCGGUACGUAAAGCUCUAUCAGCAGGGAAGUAAAUGACGGUACCUGACUAUGAAGCCACGGCUAACUACGUGCCAGCAGCCGCGGUAAUACGUAGGGGGCAAGCGUUAUCCGGAUUUACUGGGUGUAAAGGGAGCGUAGACGGCAGCGCAAGUCUGGAGUGAAAUCCCAUGGCUUAACCAUGGAACUGCAUUGGAUACUGUGCAGCUAGAGUGCAGGCGAGGUAAGCGGAAUUCCUAGUGUAGCGGUGAAAUGCGUAGAUAUUAGGAGGAACACCGGUGGCGAAGGCGGCUUACUGGACUGUAACUGACGUUGAGGCUCGAAAGCGUGGGUAGCAAACAGGAUUAGAUACCCGGGUAGUC